AGGGCUGCUGGAGGUAUCAGAAGUGCGAAUGCUGACAUGAGUAACGAUAAAGGGAGUGAAAAACUCCCUCGCCGGAAGACCAAGGGUUCCUGUCCAACGUUAAUCGGGGCAGGGUAAGUCGACUCCUAAGGCGAGGCCGAAAGGCGUAGUCGAUGGGAAACGGGUUAAUAUUCCCGUACUUCUUACAAUUGCGAUGGGGGGACGGAGAAGGCUAGGUGGGCCUGGCGACGGUUGUCCAGGUUCAAGUACGUAGGCGGAAAGUUUAGGUAAAUCCGGACUUUCUUAACGCUGAGAUACGAUGUCGAGCUACUACGGUAGUGAAGUCAUUGAUGCCAUGCUUCCAGGAAAAGCCUCUAAGCUUCAGAUUGUAAGGAAUCGUACCCCAAACCGACACAGGUGGUCGGGUAGAGAAUACCAAGGCGCUUGAGAGAACUCGGGUGAAGGAACUAGGCAAAAUGGUACCGUAACUUCGGGAGAAGGUACGCUCUUAUCAGUGAAGUCCCUUGCGGAUG
rnacentral:rRNA from 1 species